GUGAACGCUGGCGGUAGGCCUAACACAUGCCAGUCGCACGGCAGCACAGUAAGAGCUUGCUCUUACGGGUGGCGAGUGGCGGACGGGUGAGGAAUACAUCGGAAUCUACUUUUUCGUGGGGGAUAACGUAGGGAAACUUACGCUAAUACCGCAUACGACCUACGGGUGAAAGUAGGGGAUCUUCGGACCUUGCGCGAUUGAAUGAGCCGAUGUCGGAUUAGCUAGUUGGCGGGGUAAAGGCCCACCAAGGCGACGAUCCGUAGCUGGUCUGAGAGGAUGAUCAGCCACACUGGAACUGAGACACGGUCCAGACUCCUACGGGAGGCAGCAGUGGGGAAUAUUGGACAAUGGGCGCAAGCCUGAUCCAGCCAUACCGCGUGGGUGAAGAAGGCCUUCGGGUUGUAAAGCCCUUUUGUUGGGAAAGAAAAGCAGCAGGUUAAUACCCCGCUGUUCUGACGGUACCCAAAGAAUAAGCACCGGCUAACUUCGUG
rnacentral:rRNA from 1 species